GAUGAACGCUGGCGGCGUGCCUAAUACAUGCAAGUCGAGCGAACAGACGAGGAGCUUGCUCCUCUGACGUUAGCGGCGGACGGGUGAGUAACACGUGGAUAACCUACCUAUAAGACUGGGAUAACUUCGGGAGACCGGAGCUAAUACCGGAUAACAUGUUGAACCGCAUGGUUUAACAGUGAAAGACGGUCUUGCUGUCACUUAUAGAUGGAUCCGCGCCGCAUUAGCUAGUUGGUAAGGUAACGGCUUACCAAGGCAACGAUGCGUAGCCGACCUGAGAGGGUGAUCGGCCACACUGGAACUGAGACACGGUCCAGACUCCUACGGGAGGCAGCAGUAGGGAAUCUUCCGCAAUGGGCGAAAGCCUGACGGAGCAACGCCGCGUGAGUGAAGAAGGUCUUCGGAUCGUAAAACUCUGUUAUUAGGGAAGAACAAAUGUGUAAGUAACUAUGCACGUCUUGACGGUACCUAAUCAGAAAGCCACGGCUAACUACGUG
rnacentral:rRNA from 1 species